AAGAACCAGAUUGCCAUUUAUGAACUCCUUUUUAAGGAGGGAGUCAUGGUGGCCAAGAAGGAUGUCCACAUGCCUAAGCACCCAGAGCUGGCAGACAAGAACGUGCCCAACCUUCAUGUCAUGAAGGCCAUGCAGUCUCUCAAGUCUCAAGGCUACAUGAAGGAACAGUUUGCCUGGAGACAUUUCUACUGGUACCUUACCAAUGAGGGUAUCCAGUAUCUCCGGGAUUACCUUCAUCUGCCCCCC
rnacentral:lncRNA from 1 species